rnacentral:rRNA from 1 species
GACGAACGCUGGCGGCGUGCUUAACACAUGCAAGUCGAACGAAGUGGCGAACGGGAGAGUAACGCGUAAUCAACCUGCCCUUCAGAGGGGGACAACAGUUGGAAACGACUGCUAAUACCGCAUACUGAAGGAGGGGAUUGCGUUUGAUUAGCACGUUGGGGGGGUAACGGCCCACCAAGGCGAUGGUCAGUAGCCGGGCUGAGGGGGUGGACGGCCACAUUGGGAAUUGGGAACGGCCCAGACUCCUACCGGAGGGAGCAGUUGGGAAUUUUCCGACAUGGACGAAAGGCUGGCUGAGCAACGCCGGGUGGUUGAUGAAGGCCUUCGGGUUGUAAAGGUCUGUUAAUCGGGGAGCGUUACCGGAAGAGAAAGCAACGGCUAACUACGUGCCAGCAGCCGCGGUAAUUC